GAUGAACGCUGGCGGCGUGCCUAAUACAUGCAAGUCGAGCGAACGGACGAGAAGCUUGCUUCUCUGAUGUUAGUGGCGGACGGGUGAGUAACACGUGGAUAACCUACCUAUAAGACUGGGAUAACUUCGGGAAACCGGAGCUAAUACCGGAUAAUAUUUUGAACCGCAUGGUUCAAAAGUGAAAGACGGUCUUGCUGUCACUUAUAGAUGGAUCCGCGCUGCAUUAGCUAGUUGGUAAGGUAACGGCUUACCAAGGCAACGAUGCAUAGCCGACCUGAGAGGGUGAUCGGCUACACUGGAACUGAGACACGGUCCAGACUCCUACGGGAGGCAGCAGUAGGGAAUCUUCCGCAAUGGGCGAAAGCCUGACGGAGCAACGCCGCGUGAGUGAUGAAGGUCUUCGGAUCGUAAAACUCUGUUAUUAGGGAAGAACAUAUGUGUAAGUAACUGUGCACAUCUUGACGGUACCUAAUCAGAAAGCCACGGCUAACUACGUG
rnacentral:rRNA from 1 species